rnacentral:sRNA from 1 species
UUUUAUGAAUUCCUUCCCAUUUCCUCAGAUAGCUCACCUGAUCCCUCUGCACGUGCUGAGCCCUCUUCAAACACCCUUUCUGGACCCUCUAGGUUGCUUAUGGAACCACAGAGAACAGUCCCGUGACAUUCGCGCACUUCCCUGAGGACACUGUGGAGCAGAAGGCAGAAAGCGUGGGCAGAAUUAUGCCUCACACGGAGGCCCGGAUCAUGAACAUGGAGGCAGGGACGCUGGCAAAGCUGAACACGCCCGGGGAGCUGUGCAUCCGAGGGUACUGCGUCAUGCUGGGCUACUGGGGUGAGCCUCAGAAGACAGAGGAAGCAGUGGAUCAGGACAAGUGGUAUUGGACAGGAGAUGUCGCCACAAUGAAUGAGCAGGGCUUCUGCAAGAUCGUGGGCCGCUCUAAGGAUAUGAUCAUCCGGGGUGGUGAGAACAUCUACCCCGCAGAGCUGGAGGACUUCUUUCACACACACCCGAA